AACUUCUCAAGAGUUGACCUCGAAUCAGGUAGGAAUACCCGCUGAACUUAAGCAUAUCAAUAAGCGGAGGAAAAGAAACCAACAGGGAUUGCCCCAGUAACGGCGAGUGAAGCGGCAACAGCUCAAAUUUGAAAUCUGGCCCCCCGGGGCCCGAGUUGUAAUUUGCAGAGGAUGCUUUUGGCGAGGCGCCUUCCGAGUUCCCUGGAACGGGACGCCAUAGAGGGUGAGAGCCCCGUCUGGUUGGACGCCGAGCCUCUGUAAAGCUCCUUCGACGAGUCGAGUAGUUUGGGAAUGCUGCUCUAAACGGGAGGUAUAUGUCUUCUAAAGCUAAAUACCGGCCAGAGACCGAUAGCGCACAAGUAGAGUGAUCGAAAGAUGAAAAGCACUUUGAAAAGAGGGUUAAAUAGUACGUGAAAUUGUUGAAAGGGAAGCGCUUGUGACCAGACUUGGGCCCGGCGGAUCACCCAGCGUUCUCGCUGGUGCACUCCGGCGGGCCCAGGCCAGCAUCAGCUCGUCCCGGGGGACAAAGGCGGGGGGAACGUGGCUCCUCCGGGAGUGUUAUAGCCCACCGCGCAAUGCCCUGGGGCGGGCUGAGGACCGCGCAUCUGCAUGGAUGCUGGCGUAAUGGUCACCAGCGACCCGUCUUGAAACACGGACCAA
rnacentral:rRNA from 1 species